rnacentral:rRNA from 1 species
UACGUAGGGUGCAAGCGUUGUCCGGAAUUAUUGGGCGUAAAGAGCGUGUAGGCGGCCCGAUUAGUCCGCUGUGAAAGUCCAGGGCUCAACCCUGGAAUGCCGGUGGAUACUGUCGGGCUAGAGUCCGGAAGGGGCGAGUGGAAUUCCUGGUGUAGCGGUGAAAUGCGCAGAUAUCAGGAGGAAGACCAGUGGCGAAGGCGGGUCUCUGGACAGUUCCUGACGCUGAGGCACGAAGGUCAGGGGAGCAAACGGG